rnacentral:rRNA from 1 species
UACGUAGGGGGCGAGCGUUGUCCGAAUUUACUGGGCGUAAAGCGCGCGUAGGCGGUUUCUUAAGUCUGGGGUGAAAGGUUCAACGCUCAACGUGAACAGUGCCUUGGAUACUGGGAGACUUGAGUCUGGGAGGGGGUAGUGGAAUUCCUGGUGUGAGCGGUGAAAUGACGUAGAUAUCAGGAGGAACACCGGUGGCGAAGGCGGCUACCUGGCCUAAGACUGACGCUGAGGUGCGAAAGCGUGGGGAGCGAACGGG